rnacentral:misc_RNA from 1 species
AUGGCGACCAUCGACGGUCGACCGGCCCAGUAUGGGCUUAGCCUUAAGCAGCUCCGCGAGCUCAUGGAGCUCCGGGGCCGCGAGGCUGUCAACAAAGUCAACGAGUACGGUGGCGUACAGGAGAUCUGCAAGAAGCUCUACACCUCGCCCAGCGAAGGUCUCAGCGGAGCAACACAAGACAUGCAGCACAGGCGAGACACUUUUGGUUCAAAUAUGAUUCCUCCAAAACCACCAAAGACCUUUUUAACGCUGGUGUGGGAAGCACUUCAAGAUGUGACGUUAAUUAUCCUAGAAAUUGCUGCCCUGGUAUCACUCGGCCUCAGCUUUUACCAUCCUAGUGAUGAAGAUGCAGAGCCUAGUCCUGAAGAUGAAGAAACACAGUAUGGCUGGAUUGAAGGUUUAGCUAUCCUGAUUUCGGUUAUUGUUGUUGUCGUGGUUACUGCCUUCAAUGAUUAUUCCAAAGAAAGGCAAUUUCGUGGUCUGCAAAACAGGAUAGAGGGAGAGCACAAGUUCUCUGUCAUCAGGCAAGGCGAGGUCAAACAGAUAUCUGUCUCCGAUAUUAUUGUCGGUGAUAUAUGUCAAAUAAAAUAUGGUGACCUGCUGCCAGCUGAUGGUAUCCUUAUUCAAAGCAAUGAUCUCAAAGUAGAUGAGUCCAGUUUAACUGGAGAAUCUGAUCAUGUGAAGAAAGGAGAAUCCUUUGAUCCAAUGGUACUUUCAGGAACUCACGUCAUGGAAGGUUCGGGCAAGAUGCUGGUCAGUGCCGUGGGUGUGAAUUCUCAGGCGGGUAUAAUCUUCACUCUUUUGGGUGCAGCUGUUGAUCAGCAGGAACAAGAGAUCAAAAAGAUGAAGAAAGAGGCUAAAAAGCAGCGGAAGAAGAAGUCGCUAUCAGGCGACGAGGCCGGCGAGAUAACGAGCAACAGCCAUGCGCCGAAACAGCACUCGGUCGACGGAGAGAACCAUCACGGUGGCGGUAAGUCCAGCGAGGAGGGUGGCAAGAAGGACAAGAGCGUGCUCCAGGCCAAGCUGACGAAGCUGGCGAUUCAGAUCGGUUACGCGGGCUCGACGAUCGCCGUCCUCACUGUUAUGAUCCUGAUAAUCAAGUUCUGCACGAAAACGUAUUACAUCGAGGGCAAGGAGUGGCAUCCGUCGCACAUGAACGACCUGGUGCGUCAUUUCAUCAUCGGUGUGACGGUGCUCGUGGUCGCGGUGCCGGAAGGCUUGCCGCUCGCGGUUACUCUCUCGCUCGCCUACUCGGUCAAGAAGAUGAUGAAGGAUAACAACCUGGUGCGGCACCUCGACGCUUGCGAGACGAUGGGCAACGCCACUGCCAUCUGUUCGGACAAGACGGGCACGCUCACGACCAACCGGAUGACUGUCGUACAGUCGUAUGUCUGCGAGAAGUUGAGCAAGUCGGUGCCGAAUUUUUCCGACAUACCGAGCCACGUUGGCAACCUGCUGGUCCAGGCCAUAUCCAUCAACUCGGCGUUCACGUCGCGCAUAAUGCCCGGGCAGGACCCGACCGACCUGCCACUCCAGGUCGGCAACAAAACCGAAUGUGCCUUACUUGGAUUCGUGGUCAACCUGGGCAAGAGUUAUCAGACAGUGCGCGACGAUAACCCCGAGGAGACAUUCACGCGAGUCUACACGUUCAACAGCGUCCGCAAGAGCAUGUCCACCGUCAUCCCAAGGCAGGGCGGUGGCUAUCGGCUCUUCACCAAGGGCGCCUCCGAAAUCAUCAUGAAGAAAUGUGCCUUUAUUUACGGUCGCGACGGUAACUUGGAAAAAUUCACCCGUGACAUGCAGGAUCGGCUGGUCAAGAACGUGAUCGAGCCGAUGGCGUGCGACGGGUUGCGUACGAUUUCCAUCGCCUACCGGGAUUUUGUACCAGGCAAGGCCGAGAUCAAUCAGGUCCACGUGGACGGCGAGCCCAAUUGGGAAGAUGAGGAAAAUAUCGUUGCCAAUCUGACCUGCCUGGGCAUCGUGGGUAUCGAGGAUCCGGUGAGGCCCGAGGUGCCCGACGCCAUCCGCCGCUGCCAGAAGGCCGGUAUCACCGUGCGUAUGGUCACUGGUGACAACGUCAAUACUGCCAGGUCGAUCGCUAUGAAGUGCGGCAUCCUCAAACCCAAUGAAGACUUCCUGAUCCUCGAGGGUAAAGAAUUCAACACUCGCAUUCGCGAUUCGCAGGGUGAGGUGCAGCAGCAUCUAUUGGACAAGGUCUGGCCGAAGUUGCGCGUCUUGGCGCGCUCCUCGCCCACGGACAAGUAUGUCCUUGUCAAAGGUAUCAUCGAAAGCAAAGCCACGGCUAACCACGAGGUCGUGGCCGUCACCGGUGACGGCACUAACGACGGACCCGCCCUCAAGAAGGCCGACGUUGGCUUCGCUAUGGGUAUAGCUGGUACCGAUGUCGCGAAAGAAGCUUCGGACAUCAUCCUCACGGACGACAACUUCUCAUCAAUCGUUAAGGCCGUCAUGUGGGGUAGGAAUGUGUACGACAGCAUCGCCAAAUUUCUGCAGUUCCAGCUCACGGUGAACGUCGUCGCCGUUGUUGUAGCCUUUAUUGGCGCCUGCGCGGUGCAGGACUCGCCUCUCAGAGCCGUGCAGAUGUUGUGGGUGAACUUGAUUAUGGACACGUUAGCCUCGCUCGCGCUAGCCACAGAAAUGCCCACGCCGGACUUAUUGCUGAGGAAACCCUACGGCAGAACGAAACCCCUCAUCUCCAAGACAAUGAUGAAGAACAUACUCGGUCAGGCGAUUUACCAGUUGACCAUCAUUUUUAUGCUUCUCUUUGUUGGGGACAAACUGCUCAACAUUCCCUCUGGCCGAGGAGUUACCUCCGAGCCCACUCAACAUUACACCAUUAUCUUUAAUACAUUUGUCAUGAUGACGCUGUUCAACGAAUUCAAUGCCAGAAAAAUUCACGGCCAGCGAAACGUCUUCCAGGGAAUAUUUACCAACCCCAUCUUCUAUUCCAUUUGGAUCGGUACCUGCUUGUCGCAAGUAUUUAUCAUCCAGUAUGGUAAGAUGGCGUUUAGCACAAAAGCUUUGACAUUAGAACAGUGGAUGUGGUGUCUAUUGUUUGGGAUCGGCACUCUGCUGUGGGGCCAAGUUGUCACGACGAUUCCUACACGCAAGAUACCCAAGAUCUUUUCAUGGGGCCGCGGCCAGCCGGACGAUAUCGGCGCUAUCAAUUUGGGAGACGAGAAAUUCGACCCAGACUCGGAUAAAAAGCCUCGUGCCGGACAAAUUCUGUGGAUCCGUGGUCUGACACGACUGCAGACUCAGCCAGUGGAACCCAUUCGAGAGACUGAGGUAUAAACAUGGCGGCAGUCUUACGUAAUCCGCCGCCAGACAUUUCCUGUCGGAGUACAAACAAAUCCGCGUAGUGAACGCAUUUCGACAGGGCCUGGACUCGCGCUACGGCGAGCACAGCAACACGAAUCUCGCCGAGGUGCUGAGGAAGCA